GAGAAGUUGGCUGCGAAAACUCAAGAACUUCCACACCAGAACGGCUUGGGUUUACCUUACGAGUCCAGUCGAGUCCCCGCCAGCACACAGCAAGAAUUCCCCUCCAGCAACAAAAUGGUUAAUUCGUUUCAGCUGCCCGGACAAGUAUGGGUCUGUGCGUUUUAUAGAGGAAAAGAAAAAGAAGAUCCCCUGU